rnacentral:rRNA from 1 species
GUGUACAAGGACCCGGGAACGUAUUCACCGCGGCAUGCUGAUCCGCGAUUACUAGCGAUUCCAGCUUCAUGUAGGCGAGUUGCAGACUACAAUCCGAACUGAGANGNGAUUUUUGGGAUUCGCUCCGGAUCACUCGNNNNCUUCCCUUUGUUUACGCCAUUGUAGCACGUGUGUAGCCCAAAUCAUAAGGGGCAUGAUGAUUUGACGUCAUCCCCACCUUCCUCCAGGUUAUCCCUGGCAGUCUCCUUAGAGUGCCCAGCUUUACCUGCUGGCUACUAAGCAUAA